rnacentral:rRNA from 1 species
GAUGAACGCUAGCGACAGGCUUAACACAUGCAAGUCGAGGGGCAACGAGGUUGUAGCAAUACGACUGUCGGCGACCGGCGCACGGGUGAGUAACGCGUAUGCAACCUACCCUUAGCAGGGGGAUAACCGGGAGAAAUUCCGACUAAUACCGCAUAUACCUUUAAGAGGCAUCUUUUAAGGGAGAAAGAUUUAUUGGCUAAGGAUGGGCAUGCGUAAUAUUAGGAAGUUGGUGAGGUAACGGCUCACCAAUCCGACGAUAUUUAGGGGUUCUGAGAGGAAGGUCCCCCCACAUUGGUACUGAGACACGGACCAAACUCCUACGGGAGGCAGCAGUGAGGAAUAUUGGUCAAUGGGACGAGAGUCUGAACCAGGCCAAGUCGCGUGAAGGGAAGACGGAUCUAUGGGUUUAGUAAACUUCUUUAGUGUAGGGAACAAAGGUCGUGGUUGCGACCACAGAUGAGUGUACCACAAGAAUAAGCAAUCGGGCUAAACUCCGUG